rnacentral:rRNA from 1 species
UACGGAGGGUGCAAGCGUUAUCCGGAUUUACUGGGUUUAAAGGGUGCGUAGGUGGGUCUGUAAGUCAGUGGUGAAAUCUCCGAGCUUAACUCGGAAACUGCCAUUGAUACUAUAGGUCUUGAAUUAUCUGGAGGUAAGCGGAAUAUGUCAUGUAGCGGUGAAAUGCUUAGAUAUGACAUAGAACACCAAUUACGAAGGCAGCUUACUACGGAUUGAUUGACACUGAGGCACGAAAGCGUGGGGAUCAAACAGG